UGUGGGCAAGACUCACCUCGACCCAAGAAGAGCAGGCCUGGGCAGAGCAGGGUGCCUGGACCCUGAUUGUAACAUCUCUCUUCCAGUCUCUGGCCCAGCCUCUUCCACAGACGUAUGCUGCAGCCAGCCCAGCUCAGAGAGCAGUGGGGACACAUGAUCUCAUCCUGUCAAGCCAAGCAACAUGGCUCCCAUUGAGGCUUAGAUGGAAGAUCCCAGGUAUCUCGUGGAGAGGACGUGUCUGGGAUCCUGGAGACUGUUUCCUGCUGGAGGUUUGAGCGGGGAGAGAUCACUCAGAAGAUCACUCGGGUCUGCAGGGUUCAUGGGAGCAGCCACACUCCAGCAGGCCAUCUGGAAGCCUACUAAAAACUGCUUACCUACGACUUACAAAGUCCAGACCCAGUUUGAGGCUCCAUCCCUGAGGCCUAUUGGCAGAGUCCCAGAGCAGCUAAUCGGCCCCCGGGACCUCCUUAAACCAACAGCAGGAACAAGAAGCUGUCUGCUCACCGGGGCUCCCCUGUCUUCUGGACCAUGUGACUCGCUGUGGCUCAUCUGAUUUGAGGGUCUGAACACAAUUUGGUCUUUUGCUUCUGCUCUUCCAGUAUCCUGACCCAGCUGACUCUCGACUCCUGUCUUCUGAGUGUAGACUCUGCCUCUGAGCACUAGGUCUAGCUGCUCAUGACCCGGCCAUGACACUGACUUUUCUACAAUUCCUCCAAUGCCCUUUUCUGCUCUCCAGCUCUGCUCUCCCAGCAAGACACACCAAUCCCCUGGCUCCCAAAGUCCUAGUUGCUGCUAUUCAAGGGCUCAGGGGUAGUGCGUGUAUUGCCCCCUCCCGCACCACAGCUGCUUUUCCUAUGAGAAUCUCCCUGUGCAGAGGAGAAAUCCGCUCUUCUCUUACAAUCAGUCCUGGCAGCAAUUCAGGAAGUCAUAGAAGGGACGGUCUGCUAAGCUCCCUCUGCAAUGCCACUGUCAGAGACCAAUCCUGGUGGGUGCCAAGUGAGUGUGCAGGCAGCUCCUUGAGAGACUCCUAGGGGCAGGGUAGUCGUGUUUCACGGUGACCUCUGAAAGCCAUGCAAAGAGUGCAGCAUUGAAGAGACUCUCCUGCUGUAACAAAGGGUUUCUGUUCUCCUACAUAAUCAGCCAGUGAGGCCAGUUUGCAGCAUGGGGAAGAGCUGUUUGGUGCCUUGUUGGAGGAUUCACCAUAUAGCUGGCAGCAGCUUCAGAUCCUGGAGUCCCUAUGAUAUGGUUACCAUGCAUCCGGAUUUUCCCAGACAUGUCCAGCUUUUUGGUUUUUAAAUAGCCGUCGGGAAGGAAUUUGUAAAAAUCUAAAGGUCCAUGAUUUCCCUCCCAAUGCCCGGGCCACCCGGGGGGGGAAAGUGGGGCAAUUUGCCCCAGGCCCUGGGCCCCGCAGGGG